GCUUUCCCCAUCUCCUAGUUUAACAACUGCUCUGCAACCUUUGUAAUGUUAAGUGCCAGCAGUCUGGUUCCACUUUGGUUUAGGUGGAGCCCAUCCUUCCUGUAUAGGCUCCCCCAUCCCCAAAGUUUCCCCAAUUCCUAAUGAGUCUAAACCUCUCCUCUCUACACCAUUGUCUCAUCCACGCAGUGAGACUCUGAAGCUCUGCCUGCCUACCUGGCCCUGCGUGUGGAACUGGGAGCAUUUCUGAGAAUGCUAUCAUAGGGGUCCUGGAUUUCAGUCUCUUCCCUAGCAGCCUAAAUUUGGCCUUCCAGGACAUCUCUCCUACCCUUCCCCAUGUCACUGAUGCCUACAUGUACCACGAUCACUGGCUCCACCCCAGCACUACAUCCUCCAGGUAGAGAUGAGGGCACUAGCUCUGAGCCAUCUCAGCGUAGUGUAAAUCCCACAGUUACUCCUGGUUUACACUCAUAACGUCCAGCAGAAUUUGGCCCAGUAUUGUCCUGCACUUGGGAGAGAAGACAGAUCACCAGAAAUAACCAGCCACCACUACAGACAAUUAUUUGGUUUAUUGCUGUUGGAAGAAAUUUCCAGACACUGUUGAGUCAGUGCUCUGAAAGAGAUCCUUGGGGUGAGGACCACCUAAGGCUCCCUCAUUAAAGCAGCUACAACACGGUAAGUAAGUCCCUCCAUCCCAUCAACUCCUGCCAGAGACAUAGCAGCAUUCAACUCAAUGUAGAAAGAGCUCUGCAUUACACUUUGAUUAUAGCAUUUUAUUCUUAAGUGCCUAAGUUACAUAAAAACAUGCCUCAGCUAACAAUGCAGCAUCUUAAAACAACUAACUGAGCUAACACCUGCUAGAUAAUUUGAUGCAUAGCUUAAUAUAUUACUCAGAGGCUGGACAGCCUGCAUGGCUAGAUGUAUUUAUUUCUACCAGCACCUCUAUUUGUGCUUAUUCGGUCAUCUUGGCAUGAGAGAAGGAUCACAAAUGGGAGUCUCCCAGGAAAGAAUUGCUCUUUCCAGAUGCACAUUGAUGGAGAGAGAUAGUUGCCCUAGCAAGACACACAGAUCAUAAGCAAGACACUAACUAA